GAAUGUGAGGACAAUCUGGCUAUGACAUCUGUCACCCCAGUGAUCUCCAGGGUUGACUCAGCUGAUCUGGCAGGUCAGGAGGGUGUCCCCUUCCUACCUCACCGCUCCAUGUACGUCCCUCUGGGAGCUGCAUGUCCAGUCAAAGAGAACGAUCUUCCUCAAAUAGAGUCAAUGUAGCUGUGCUCCCCUUCGAGAACCCCAAACAAGCUCUCAAGGUCCAAAUACCUGUCUACAAGUUAAUACUGUGCUGAUGUUUGCCAUCUCAAAGAAGUGAAGUCAAAAGUGCUGUGUGGGUUAUGCUAAAGGCUUGCUUUUUUUU
rfam:Mesocricetus auratus contig045306, whole genome shotgun sequence.